GUGUCACCUGUCAUCAGCCUGCUCAGGCCAAAGUCUGCCACCUUCACCAAGUGGUUCUCCCCUACAAGGCAGUUUCUGGCAGCGAGGUCUCUGUGGAUGAAGUUCUUCUUCUCCAGGUACUCCAUGGCUGAAGAGAUCUGGGUUGCCAUGUACAGCAGCACCACUGCGUUGACCUCCUGCCGGUUGCACUCACGCAGAUAAUCCAACAGAUUCCCAUACGUCAUGAACUCCGUAAUGAUGUAGAAAGGAGGCUCCCGUGUGCACACCCCUAAUAAUUGCACCAAGUUCGGAUGCUUGAUCUCCUUCAUUACUGCAGCUUCUUUCAAGAACUCUUCCACCUCCAUGGUAUCCUCCUUUAGGGUCUUCACAGCCACUGUGAGGCUGUACUUCUUCCAGACUCCUUCAUACACCUCUCCAUACUGCCCGCCGCCAAGCUUGUGCUUCAUAGUGAUGUCAGUUCUCUCUAUCUCCCACUUGUCGUAGUUUGGAGACACCCCGUAAAUAGUGGGCUUGUUGCGCUUGGGCGCCGGGUAGUGCAAAGUGGUGAUGAGCCCAUCUGCUACUGUUGAAUGAUGAUGGACCAACUCUGCCAAGGUGUUGAAGCGGCUCUCUGAAGAGACGUACAGCUUUCCAUCGGACGCAGUGUUUAUUCUGUAGUGGUACACCCUCCCUUCGUAGCGCAGCGAAAUUGAUCUCUGUCCUGGACUGCUCUCACUCUCUCGCACGAGAAAGCUGCCAUUGAUGCCGCUGCUCAGGAGGUACUCAGCAGCAUUACGUGACACUGGUCCAUGGUACCAGGAAUGUUUCUCCAAACUAUUCACCGGGGUGAUGUAGUUGCUG
rnacentral:lncRNA from 1 species